AUAUUCGAAGUGGUAAACAAGUGGAUUGCAUAAUAUAAUUGAGUAGUUCUACGUCGAAAAUAUGCGGUCGUGUCCUAGAUACAACCUCUCACAAUUUUUUCUUCGUCCCUAAACUGUCAUCUCCAACAAAAACAAAUGGAUCAUACAAUUGUAGAUUAUCCGCGAAACAGUCGGGCUAGGCCAUCGCGUAUAACGAAAAUCGCGGAUAAUGCAAUACAAGACUGAAAAUCAAUACAGAAAUUAUUGAACUAUCAAUCUGUAAGGUCGUGUACAUCACUGAUCAGAUAAUGUGAAAGCCAUGACCAAAACAAAAAAGCAAGACUUUACUAUUCACUAACAAGUUUCGGGAAGGUUUAACACUGGAGGAAAACAUUACAACUGUGUGUGUGCAAUCGCCAUUUGUCUAGUGGAAGCGAAACGAUUCGGAGCUUUCAUUUAUAGAAAACAAUAGCAAGGGUUCACGCAGUCGUAAAAACUGCGCUAGCUGAUGAACAAUAUGCGAUUUUCUUAAACAAAUCGUCACAAAAACAAUGAUUCUACAGCAGUACUUGGCGACGAUACCCAGCGAAAAUCAUCACCAUCGCUCAACAACAACAAAAAACCGUGUCCAAGGAUAAUGGGGAGAGUAAGUUUGUGUGGAAAAUUUGCUCCAAGGCGCUUCAUUGCUGGAUCGGUACAUGCUGCCUUCGCUCGGAUAUGGAGCGCCACAUCAAGUAGUAACAUUCCUAAUUCUGGUCGAAGCGCGGAGGACAUCAUUGGAUGCGCAACCAGAUAAUUCGACCGAGGCGGAGGCGUCGGCAAUCAACCAAUCCGCCAAGGGAAAUAGACAAAGAUUUUAUGUUCCGCUGUCAGUUUCGAUUGGGAUUUCCAGUGAAAAUAGAAAUAUCGCUAUUCUGUGUGGUUGUCAUAUUUGACAAUGUAUUCGCAUAAGAGCUCCCGCAAACUGCAUACUUUUUAUCGGCAGAAAAUUUGAUCGAGUUGGCCUGUUAGUGCAAAAACCGACCCAAGCAGUCUGCGGGGGCUCUAUGAGACACCCGUAACCAGCGUAAGCCACAUCAAGGAAAACGAAGAGCGUGCAACAUGCAUUAUCGAUUAUUAAUGUUUUGAUGUCCCAUCCGAGUACGUACGACGUGAUGCCGAUUUGAGGAAGCAGGAAAGAGAAAGGAAAACCUACAGGAAAAAGCUUUUUCAAUAAUUUAUAAAAUUAAGAAUAGAAUAAGAGUAUUAAUAAGAAUAAAAAUAUUCGCAAUACAAAAUAAUUAUUUGAAAAAUAUCGUCAUUAUCCAACCAAUGGAGGGCCAACAAAUCAGCCAUUACUAAAGCCGGGUUCAGACGGUGCGAGCAAGCAUACGAGUCGGUCUAGUCAGUUACUGCAGUGCAGCUACUCACACCGUGUGAACACAUCAUGCCAGUUAUUGUCAUGUGUGAUCCGGCGUGCGAGCUACUUCAAAGUUUUUUGAAUUUACUCGCACUCGCAUGCUUCAAAACGUCAAAAACAGAAUUUAGCGUUCGAAUCAGGGAUGCCAAAUGUAAAGAAAUGUCUCUAUUUUUAAGAUAUUUGAAAAUAUGCGAAGAUAUUUAUAGACUUGAAAAUUAUUGGAAAAACAAAUAAAACCCUCAUAGUUUCUUAACGAAAUCAUUGUUAUUCUGUUUUGCACGCUGGCGGGGCACGCUUUCUUUUUGAGAUAGUUUUCUGGAGAAUGUCUAAUAUAGAAUCAUUAUCAGGCACAAUUUUCAUUCAAAAUUCACUCACAACUUGCGAAAAAAAGUAAGGUUCUAAGAAACAGAAUACAUAUUCGAUUUAAAAAAGUACAUUUUCAUUCAUUAUUUUAAUUUUUGACGCGUGUGAAUAAAAUUUUAAAAAGUCUUCUAGACUAUCAUUUAAAGCAUCACAUAC